CAUGAAGUUCGGCUAAAAGACACACAAGACUGUAAUUUAAGGAGGCUAAUUUGCCAUUUUAUCUUGAUAUUUGUCGACACAGACAGACGCUGUUUGGCACAGAACAGUUUAAUGAUACUUUAAUCUUAUCCCGCACUAAUUAUGAACUGAUAAACACGGGAAUUACGGAUAGCAACAGUGUUCAACUCACGUGAAAUGUGUUCACCGGGCAGAGGCGGUGUGUUGUUGACGCGUAGUGAUGACGUCGAAUUGAUGCGCGCCUUCUGAAAAGUUGCUCAGAAGCUGGACGGACUGUAGAAAACAGAACAUCUGACAUAAAAUUUAAAGUCUCGCCUUUCUUUACAUGGCUAGCCGCCAUAGUCAAGUUCACACCUGGUUUAUUUUUGUCCUCCUGCUGUUCCUGAGUGGUUUUAUUUAGUUUUCUCUUUUGCUCUAUUUGCUUGUAAAAGAGGGACACUAGGACCCAGGCAACCAUGUGGCCAAUCCAGGUGAGAAGAACAAGGUAAGAGGAGCAGGUAGCGCAGGAGUGAUGGGAAGUUCUUUUGGCACGGCUCCUAAAGAACUACUGGCUCUUUCGGCUCCCAAACGAUUCCUACUUUAGUAUUAUUUUUAAGAGAACCCGCAUAAUUGCCUCAUUUUGCGCAUUUGUUGUGUUUAAAAAGCAGGCAUUCUUACUUUUGUUUGAUUUUUUUAAUCAAACUUUUUUUUUUUGCACAAAAAACAAAUGAACAAAACACUGUACAAAACCCCACAGAACAGAAACAGAACCAAACUCUGUGUUCAAAGCUUGGAUGGGCCGAUACCAUUUCUUCUUUCGGUGGGGGAAGACUGAGGCCUUGGCCUGCCACCAGCUCAGUGGGUCAUCUGCUCAUUGGAUGAGGGGCUCCUCAAGAUAUGAUCUCACCUCCAUUACAGCAUCAGCUGUAGGAUUUCUCCUAUCAUCAUGUCCUGUAGCUCUUUCAUCAAAGAGCCUCCACACAGCAGAAGUUUGUUGGUCCUCCUCCACUGGGCCCUCUAGUGGUGGAGGUGGUUGGAUGCUAGGGGUACAUUUUGCUGGAGUGUCUCAUCAACAGCUCUGUUGUCACUGAAAGCAAGCUUCUUAAACCUAGGAUGCAAUAACAUGGUUUCUGCAAGGACAGUGUUCAACUCCAUACUUCAUGAAAAAAGUUGGGAGUCGGCUCUUCUGAUUCGCUACAAAGCAUUAGCUCUUAGAGCCGCAUGUUUUGCGCAUGACAUCACUAUAGCACAGGCGUGUUAGCUUCAUACUGCCUCCUGGGAUCCCUCAUGUGUGCAGCUUUUUCUGGUAAGCCAAGCAGACUCUGUGUUUUAACUAGUGUUGUUUUAAUUGUUAGAUUAAUGUAGAGGUCUGUAAUAAUAAUUUGGUGUUUCUUUUCUUAAUGGUCAUUAAAGUACAGAACUAGUGCUGGCAGCAGCAAGAAAUGAGAGUAUCUCCAUGAUAUUGAGCUGUGUUUUCACUUGUGAUAACGAAACAUUAAUUUGUAUUGUUAUAAGUGCUGAUUGCUUUUCAUUUUACAUUAUUUUCUUUACAUUAUCUUAUUUCUAGUACUUGUCAGAUUAGCUGCUCAACCUACCAAGCUGUUUUUAGUGCUGCAGACUGGUGUCGACCUCCAGUUGUAGGAGUAGCUGAAGUGGGCUGUUUGGUUUGUGGUGCCAUGAUUUAAGGUUUGGGUGUUUUUCUGUUGGAAAUUAGGUUUAUUGUGUGUGUGGUUUUGGUUAUUCACUGCUAGCACAGUCUCAGUGCAUUGGCUUGCUGAUUGAUCCACCACUCCCCUGCAGCAAAACCAUACAAUUUUUAAUUUAAGUGACCCUGGUUAUAAUAAACAAGUCCGUAUUGGCAUUUGACCCACUCUUACUUUGCUUCUUUAUUCAAGUUACCUGUGUUUUUAUAUUGAGAAAAGUCAGAUGCCACAUGCCUCUUUUUUAAUAUUUGCCAAUAUGCUCUGCUUUGGCUGACCUGUUCAUACGGUUGUAUUAAUUUGUUUAUGCUCGAGUUUCCUGUGAUUCUUGUCAUUUCCUCCACGGAUUUCUAUGUGCUGUUGCAUUUUAUCAGCCUUACCUUCUCUGUCUGAUAGUUUGUGCUUUGUCCUUUCUGUCUCUGUACCUCUCUGCAGGUUUAUCAGGCUCUGAAGCAGCACAAGUCUGAUCUGUGGUUCCUGGUGUCACCAAUCUGUCCAGUGUUUGUUGUCUGUUUGUUUAUCCUUGCUUUCUCUUUUCUCUCCCUCCUUUACCCUCACCCCAACAGGUCGAGCCAGAUGUCCACUCUCCCUCAGCGUGGUUUUGCUGAAGGUUUGUUCCUGUUGAAAGAGAGCUCUUCAUCCUCGCCGUCACAACUAUAGUGCUCAUCUGAAAUCUUGGGAUCCAUUGGAUUUUCCAUGUAUAAUUUUGUAGGUCUUGAAUUUUUAGAUUAGUUGGGUAAUUUUUUAAGAGUGGAUAUAAUAUUGUAGGUUCGUAACCUUAGCGUUUCAGUCAGGUUCAUUGUAUUACAUAAUAUUGUAGUGGUUUUGGUGUAAUGUUUAAAUUGUUUAGGUUAAUUCACAUAAAUGAUAUAGUAGGGUGUUAACCUGAAUAUAUAAUUUACUCAUGUCACUUUGCAUUUUAUAAUAUAGAAAUUACUCAAUUAAAUUCAUACAGUCUUGCAGGGUUUUGACCUUAAUAUUUAAACUUGUGGGAUAAAUUUGCAACACCAGUCUUGUUUCUCUGCUGGAAACCACUUUAGCUCAGUGUCAAUUGUUUUAAAUGUGCUGUAUAAUUAACAGUGACGUGGCUCUGAAUGGUUAGAUAUGUGAAGUACAGGCUACACAAAAAGGGGUGUUGUUCAAAGCCACUAAAUCACGACUAACAAUGUCAUUCUUGGUUGAAACCAGCAGAUGGCAGCAUGGUUCCUUCGCUGAUAGAAUGAUUCAUGACUGAGGAUCGCCUCUCUGUGGGCGAUGGGAGAUGCAGACUUGAGGCAUGUGAAUCAGUCAGAAAGAGACAGAAGCUGUAACAUCAACUUUAACACAGAUGAUUUGUAACUUAAUCACAGCUUUUUGACGUCAGAGACCUUAAACCUCCUCCACCCACAACGCAUAAGAACCUUGGUGGGUUCUACUUGCAUAUUCAGUACAGAAUAGUCAACAUUAUUUUCAAUUUAUAAGCCCACUGAAGGCCAUCAGCACUUGUUUUAUUCAUAUUUUUAAUGAAUGAAUGCAGGAUAUAUUCAAAGGGAAGGAAAGGCUUGUGUUGUAAGCUUGCUGAAUGAAAAAGCUUUAUUAAAUGUUGUGUUUUAUAUAGAGAUAGAUGGAUAUAUCUGUCUCUUUUGGUUCUAUUCUCAGGUAGAAUAGCUGCAUCCUACUGCUAUUUUUGUAUUUCGAGGCCUUUUUGUAUAUACUGUCUUCCUACUUAUGUUUUCUUUCUCAGCCUGAUAGUUUUAUUGGUGGAGUCGCACCAGUCGAGGAUGAUGCAUUCCUGUUCUUUACGAAAUACAGCAAUGUAAAAAUACCCCAUUACAGGUAAAAGUGCUACAUAAAUAAGCCCAUUUCAGUAAAAGUACAUGAGCAUUAGCAAUAGUCUGUAGUUAAAGUAUUAAAGUCAAAGUAGUAGUUUGGUCCCUCUGACUCAUAUAUUGUGUAUGACAUUAUUAGAUUAUUAAGAAUGCAGCAUGUUACUGCAUGUGGAGCUAUUCUGAACUAAUUUAUAUGCGGUUCUACAUACAGAUCCAGCAGAUAUGUCUGAGGGCUUGUCAGGUGUUUAAUGGGAGAAGAAAAUAGAAAAAAUAAAGCUCUAAUACACAAA